GGACUACAGGGGUAUCUAAUCCUGUUUGAUCCCCACGCUUUCGUGCCUCAGCGUCAAUAUUUGUGUAGCCAGCUGCCUUCGCAAUUGGUGUUCUAUGUCAUAUCUAUGCAUUUCACCGCUACAUGACAUAUUCCGCUAACCUCCACAACAUUCAAGAUCUAUAGUAUCAACGGCAGUUUCCGAGUUAAGCUCGGAGAUUUCACCACUGACUUACAGAUCCGCCUACGCACCCUUUAAACCCAGUGAAUCCGGAUAACGCUUGCACCCUCCGUAUUACCGCGGCUGCUGGCAC
rnacentral:rRNA from 2 species